rnacentral:rRNA from 1 species
UACGUAGGUGGCAAGCGUUGUCCGGAUUUACUGGGCGUAGAGAGCGCGCAGGCGGUCGUUCAAGUCGCGUGUGAAAGCCCCCGGCUCAACUGGGGAGGGUCACGCGAUACUGAUCGACUCGAAGGCAGGAGAGGGUAGUGGAAUUCCCGGUGUAGUGGUGAAAUGCGUAGAUAUCGGAAGGAACACCGGUGGCGAAAGCGGCGCGCUGGACCUCUUCUGACGCUGAGGCGCGAAAGCCAGGGGAGCAAACGGG